UACCUUUGUAACAGUUCUGGUACUAAAAAGAGGUUUAGUAAAAGGGAAUGCCGUGUAAAUCGGCAACAGUACCCGCUGCUGUAAUUCUCUGUGAAUCUGAGACAUACAUGCCACUGUAUCUAUUUAAUAUGGGAAGGCGUUUCAGAGGAGAGAUAAGUCAGAAGACCUGCCAAAACAAUCAUGGAAUAU
rnacentral:ncRNA from 28 species